AGGUCAUUCUGGGGACAAUUUCUCAACAAGCCCUUGUAUCUCUCCCAUGCCUUAUAGAGUGAUUCUCCUCCCAUUUUCUCAAAGUUGGCAAUUGCCUUAUUCAAUUU